rnacentral:misc_RNA from 1 species
UUGAAGGCUAUGAGAGCAGUUGGAGCAUAGCCAUGUGCGAGCUGCUAGCCUUCUUGAAACGAAAUUCUUCAAUGCACCGGUAGACCUCAUGUCUUCGGGUCGGUUCCUUUUCGACGCAAGGAGAUACUAACGGAAGGCGGUAUCACAGUGAUCCAGUUGAGUCCCUCCAAAGGCAAGUUUGAGUUAAAUCAUAGCCAAACCCACAUGCUAAAAGCCAGCCUCAACCAUCGAUUAAGAUUCAAAACCCAUAUACAAAAACCCAAUCAGAGGCAAAACAGAGCAUGGAAACUGGGAAGAUUAAAGGGAUCGUCGGAUCGACUUACCUGCGAUGCCGUCGCCGCGCCGCGCCGCUGAUCUAGUGCCCUUGUCUCUAGGAGGGUGUGAAAAUGACUCUAGAGUCCGUUUCAAACCCUCCUCAAGUGAUAUGAUGGGCAUGUAGC